AAAGGUAUCCAUAAAACUACGAUGCCAUAUCUAUGAUGCUGAAUUUGCAAUUGCUGGAUUAGUUGGCAUCUUGUCGCCUCGGGUGGCAACCACGCAUUUUCGAAUUUACGUUAAGCCAGCCGCAUUACAUUGCAUGAAUGAAUCUAAUAUGUAUUUUGUACGUUAAAUCGCUGAAGCACCGCUUAGCCUGUUAGUUAGCUCUAGGGCUCCUCAAUGUCGACGAAUUUGCAAGCCCGCUGUGCAAAAGAGUCGAGCUGUUAUGCUAAUAAUUUCAUACAUUAGUUUUAUAAACAUAAAUAAAAAUUUACUCCGGAGAUGCGGCAUGUAUGCG
rnacentral:lncRNA from 1 species